GGUGCCAAUCUGGGCGACACUUCCCAGUUAGAGAGUCAGCAAAAGGGAGAGGGCAAUUCCAAGAAGAGGGAAAAGCUUGUGCACAGGUAAGUGUGUGCAAAGGUGAGUGUGUGUACCUCCUUUAUUCCUGAAGCCCGGGCGGUGCUUGACCUGGUCAACCAGUGCCCAAAACAGGUCCAGAAAGGAAAGUUCCAAGUUGUUGCCAUCGAAGGACUGGAUGCCACGGGUAAAACCACAGUGACCCAGUCAGUGGCAGAUGCACUUAAGGCUGUCCUCUUAAAGUCACCACCCUCUUGCAUUGGCCAGUGGAGGAAGAUCUUUGAUGAUGAACCAACUAUCAUUAGAAGAGCUUUUUACUCUUUGGGCAAUUAUAUUGUGGCCUCUGAAAUAGCUAAAGAAUCUGCCAAAUCUCCUGUGAUUGUAGACAGGUACUGGCACAGCACAGCCACCUAUGCCAUAGCCACUGAGGUGAGUGGGGGUCUCCAGCACCUGCCCCCAGCCCAUCACCCUAUAUACCAGUGGCCAGAGGACCUGCUCAAACCUGACCUCAUCCUGCUGCUCACCGUGAGUCCUGAGGAGAGGUUGCAGAGGCUGCAGGGCCGGGGCAUGGAGAAGACCAGGGAAGAAGCAGAACUUGAGGCCAACAGUGUGUUUCGCCAAAAGGUAGAAAUGUCCUACCAGAGGAUGGAGAAUCCUGGCUGCCAUGUGGUUGAUGCCAGCCCCUCCAGAGA
rnacentral:sRNA from 1 species